rnacentral:misc_RNA from 1 species
CACAACUCUACGAAGAGAAUAAUUUAUCAUUGUCGCUUCUAAGCAAAAGUUUCUCUUGAAAAUGUUCAGCAACUGAUGAUAGAUGGAGAGAACUUCAUCAUCUCCUAGAAAGAGGGAAGAUGAAGGGCUACUUUCAUGCUGGGGUCGUCUCAAGUUGAAGCUUCCAUGGACAAACAGAAGAACAAGCAGCAGCAGCAGCAACAACAA